rnacentral:snRNA from 1 species
AACUCCGGGUUCUCCUCAAUUGCAGAUAAAUCUUUCGCCUUUUACUAAAGAUUUACGUCAGGGGGCACAAUGCAAUCAGCCUUAUCUCACUUUUUCCAGCUGUGUCUUUGGACAGAGU